rnacentral:tRNA from 3 species
GCCGCCGUAGCUCAGUGGUAGAGCACUCCCUUGGUAAGGGAGAGGUCGCGUGUUCAAUCCACGCCGGCGGCACCA